UUAAUUUCCCCUUCACCGCAUCCACUCCUUCCCUCAGUCGCCACUCACCAUCCCCAAUUCCCCAUCUUUCUCGCGCUAGAAGCAGCACCGCCGCCUCCCAGUGCCGCCACCCUGGAUCCCCCACGCAUGCCGCCGCUCUAGAUCCCCACCCAUGCCUCCGCCUAGUGCUGUCGCCCCCGCAUCCACCACCCAUGGCCCCAUCUUCGGAUCCCCCAUCCACGCCGCCGUUGGAGGUCAGCGGCAAGUUCACAAGCGACCUUCGUGAACGGCCUGGCGAUCUUGCUUCCGUCCAUAGCACACAGUAGACGUUGGCGUCGGCAGGUUCGUUCACCAUGGCGGUUGCGCUGGUGGGGUGAGCCUGGCCUUCGAUGCGCUCUAACCGCCUUUCAACCCUCGUUGCGUGCUCCCGCCAUCACGGGCAGGCCUGUAGGUCUGGCGCCCACCACCUCUCUAUUCUUCUGCUUUCCACACCAUGUGUCUGUACGCUGCUCCCUCUUCUUCCUUUCUGUUCCUCUGUUCUGCUAACUGAAUGGUCCAGAUAAAGUUUAUUAUCGAGAGUUUUGCUGCAUGAUAACUAUUUUCUACGUACUAAAUAUGUUCCGUCGUCUCUCUUUCCCUCUUGUUAAAAUCAUAUCCUCACUGCAGCUAUAGCUUAAUCAAUCAAAUUCAUAUGUCCUGUUUAGAAUUUCUGCAGCGAAAAAAGCCCUCUUAAUUCAAAUAAUAAUAAUUCUAGUUGUUGUUUAGAUAUUUUGUUGGCAAUUCUACAUAUACAUGGAGCCAAUAGAUGUGAUUGAAUAUGGGCUUUUGUGGGUCUGCUGUUCUUGGUUGUUCAGAAAUGCAUGGCUCAAGUUUGCUCUGUCUAUAAGCUUUGCAAUGCUGCAUGUUCAGGGAGCCAAUAGAUGUGACUGAAUAUAGAUGCUAGCUCAAGUUUGCUCUGACUAGAAGCUAGUACUGGCAAAUGUCGAUGUGGCCAGAUGACAUUGUGCCAAUUGAAUUUGAGUCAGCUAGUAGCAAUCUAGCAUAAAUAUUUUGCUCUCAAAUGCAGUUCUUUAGUUAUAUUUAAUCCCACAUGUUGUGCCCUGGUGUGUUUGUGAGAUACUGAGAUGUCUUGCUACUUUUAUUGCGCACGUAAGGUGGCCGGGAGCUUGUAAAACUGCAUGUCAUAUCUGAUGUUUGGAUAUAUGAUUUUAUUGUUUGACCCUCCCUGAAAGUACAUGGUCUCAUUAAAUUAUCUACAUUUAACAUGACAAGUUCCAGAAUAAGUGUAAUGAAUAUAUUUGAUUAGUAUAAAUAAGACGAUAUGUUCUAGAAUAUGAGGUAAUGACAGAUAACAUGCAUGCUUCUUAGACUGGCUUGCAUAUUUCGCUGUUAUGAACCUGAUAUACAUCAUUCGUAAAUGCUUAUAUCUUGCUAUUAUGAAAGUUAUAUGCUUUUUAAUGAUGUGAUGCAGUUGUAGUGGCGUGUAAUAUGUAUUCAUUGUAAUAUUUUCUUAGUUUUGGAGAUUGGUUAGUAUUUUGUGGUUGAUGGUUGUAGCUGGCUUUUUCUCCAAAAAUUUACAUCUGUACAAAUUGACCAGAAGUCCAGAAUAGUCUUAUACUUAGUCUUAUACUUAGCACUCCGAUCUUUGUAGAAAAACCUUACUGGGUCCAAAGCUGUCCAGAUGCAUGGUGAAUGAUGGCUGAGAUGUGGUUCACAUGAAAUGAAAAGAAAAUUCUUGUGCUUGCAGGGAGCGGAAGCGGAUGUUAUUGUGGUCACCGUUAAGAGAGUGCUUUUUUGGCCCACUACCAAAGAAAAAUGGUGGGUUCCUACUUGAUUAAAACUAUCAUUUUUGUUCUUUUUUUCCAGAAAAGGCAAAACCGCUCAAGAUUCUGCUCUUCUUCAGAAUAUUCACAAGUCGCUCCUCCACUCAGGGGACAUGAUGCCGUCCCACUGUCCCUUCAUUGUGAUGCUGCCGUGGACACGCAUAUUGGGCUGCACUCUUAGGAUGGACACCAAGAUUGGCUUCCUCUCGCCAGCGCUGGGGCUGUGAGGAGCAUGAGGUAUUGCGGCCUCAUGUUGUUAUUGCUAGAGUAAUCUUUGUAAAUUCUAUCUUGACUUUUUGUAAGAAAGGAUUGCUAUUGCAGUGCAAUUGUUCUAGGUGGUGUAGUAUCUUGGCACCUUGUUAGGAUUAACAUGAUAUGCCAUUUAUUGUCUCUCUAAUGAAUACAUACUACAGUACUUGCUCUUUCUAGUGUUAGUUUGGGUUUGCAGACCAUCUAUCCUCAUAAUCUGUUUACAAGAUUGUUGUCUUGAAAAAUAUGGAAUUUUUUUAUGUGAAGAAGCAUUAAUGCAUUUUAGGACUCGACGAGUUGUGUGGCCUUUGAAAAAAUUGGCCUCCUCGCGUGAAUGUGUUGCUUGUUCUUUGUAUUUCUGCAAGACGAAGGUUUGGUAACUGAUCUGAUUGGUAUGUCUAUGAUGUUCUUGUGUCCGUAUAUUCUUCAGUGGAAUAAUUGUUGUAUUAUUCUGACUAGCUCUUACUUUCAGGUGGUUGUCAAAAUACACUAUGGAACAUAAAUACUUGUGAGAUGUAUUAAUUAAUUAGUUGCUUCUUUUUUCAGGUUAUUGUAUACUGCUCUUGCACUCACAAGUUUAUAGAUCUGUGUUUUGUCAGCUAAACGGAUCUAUUGCUAGAAUCUAAGGAAGUUUUUGGACAUUUUAAUAUCUAUCUGAUGAAGUAGCACUCUAGGAUGGAUCUGUUUCUAACUGAAACCAGAUGUUGUAUUUAGUGAUGUUGCAUUUGUAGGACAUAUGGCCAUCCCAUGUAUGUAUGUAUGGACGAUGGAUUGUUGUCCUUUUGGCUAUGAGGUAGUACAGGACUUGUGAACCUACAAAUGUAUUUCUAAUUAUGUAUGUCGUGAUGUAGUAUUGGACCUGUGAACCUACAGAUGUAUAGCUAUGUAUUGUUGAGAUAUGUAUUGUUGUUAUAUAUACGAUACAACCUAA